rnacentral:rRNA from 1 species
UACGGGGGGGGCAAGCGUUGUUCGGAAUUACUGGGCGUAAAGGGCUCGUAGGCGGCCAACUAAGUCAGACGUGAAAUCCCUCGGCUUAACCGGGGAACUGCGUCUGAUACUGGAUGGCUUGAGGUUGGGAGAGGGAUGCGGAAUUCCAGGUGUAGCGGUGAAAUGCGUAGAUAUCUGGAGGAACACCGGUGGCGAAGGCGGCAUUCUGGACCGAAACUGACGCUGAGGCGCGAAAGCGUGGGGAGCAAACAGG